AUGCAUCUUUGACAGCCUGGGCUUUCUGGUGUGAGAGAUCCUGGGUUUUAACAUUUCAGAUGCAAUAAUAAAUGUCCCUGCGCUUUCUGCACGCCUCUUUUUCAUGGCGUCUCGGAUUGAAGAGGGGAUGACAAAU
rnacentral:snoRNA from 1 species